AAUGUAAUUUUACAUUAUAAUGAGAAUUAAAAUAAUAGUAAUUUAUUUUUGUUACUAAAAUUAAAUUCAGUUUGUUCCUGCAUAAAUCUUUUUAGUACUAAACUGCUUUGGAAUGAAUUUUUUUGGGGGACAACAGCAGGAUUAGGGCUAUCUUCUAGAUGCCAUCAGGUAGGUGCGCUAGCGUAGUCGUUUGUUGUAGCAUUAUAUCCCUUUUCCCCCUUUUUAAAAAAUGUUUGUAAGAUGCCUGAAAUGUGUAUAAGUUAGUUAUAUAAGUAGUUGAAUAAGAAUUGGUGAGACUUGGAAAAUAGAAGAGGACAGAGAAGAUGGAAGAGGAUUGCUUUGAAAUAGAAGGAAAGGAGAUAGAAGAUGUUUGAGGAAAGGAGGAGGAUUUUGUUCGCUGUAACGGAAGUUUUUUGAAGGGAAUUUGGAGCAACUGUAUUAAGAUGAUAUUGGUAUCUUGGACAUCAAGUUUUUAUUUAUGUAUUUUUUAAGUUUUUAUUUAUGUAUUAUACAAGCAUAUCUAUUGGUGGAAAUGUAGAAUGGCAGUUGUUAUAACAACUUGGACGAAUUAUUAGAAACACCAAAGAAGUUUUGACAUAAUUUAAACUGGGAAAGGCUCACAAAUGACCAAUUUAUUCUACAGUAGAUACAGGACAUUAAAUUGACUUCAACAACGCAGAUAUCUCUCAAAAAUGAUAUCUGUUCGAGUGAUGUACUUGGCGUUAAUAGUUGCUGUUACAAAUCUGCAAAUGAGUUACUACUGUACAUAAGUUGGAGGAAUGCCAAGGAAUUUUUUGAAUAAAGUGAUACUGAAAAUCUUACCCACAAAUGACAAUUUUAAGAUACAAUCAAUAGUAUUUGGAUUGAUUGGCCUUCAUUACCGUUGCGCUAUG